GUGGUCAAAUGGUUACGCUGUCCGCUUUGUAAGCGGCUGAUCAUGGGUUUGAUUCCCAUC
rnacentral:tRNA from 1 species